AGUCGAACGAAGUAGCAAUACUUAGUGGCAGACGGGUGAGUAACAUGUGGGUAUCAACCCUUUGGCCUGGAAUAACACGAGGAAACUUGUGCUAAUACUGGAUAAGUCUUUACGGAGAAAGCUUUAUGCACCAAUGGAUGAGCCUGCACUUGAUUAGUUUGUUGGUAGGGUAAUGGCCUACCAAGACUGUGAUCAAUAGCUGAUUUGAGAGGAUGAUCAGCCACAUUGGGACUGAGACACGGCCCAAACUCCUACGGGAGGCAGCAGUGGGGAAUCUUGCACAAUGGAGGAAACUCUGAUGCAGCGAUGCCGCGUGAGUGAAGAAGGCCUUUGGGUUGUAAAGCUCUUUCGUCGGGGAAGAAAAUGACUGUACCCGAAUAAGAAGGUCCGGCUAACUUCGUGCCAGCAGCCGCGGUAAUACGAAGGGACCUAGCGUAGUUCGGAAUUACUGGGCUUAAAGAGUUCGUAGGUGGUUGAAAAAGUUGGUGGUGAAAUCCCAGAGCUUAACUCUGGAACUGCCAUCAAAACUUUUCAGCUAGAGUUUGAUAGAGGAAAGCAGAAUUUCUAGUGUAGAGGUGAAAUUCGUAGAUAUUAGAAAGAAUACCAAUUGCGAAGGCAGCUUUCUGGAUCAAUACUGACACUGAGGAACGAAAGCAUGGGUAGCGAAGAGGAUUAGAUACCCUCGUAGUCCAUGCCGUAAACGAUGUGUGUUAGACGUUGGAAAAUUUAUUUUCAGUGUCGCAGUGAAAGCGAUAAACACACCGCCUGGGGAGUACGACCGCAAGGUUAAAACUCAAAUGAAUUGACGGGGACCCGCACA
rnacentral:rRNA from 1 species